GUAGGUGGCAAGCGUUGUCCGGAAUUAUUGGGGCGUAAAGCGCGCGCAGGCGGUUCUUUAAGUCUGAUGUGAAAGCCCACGGGCUCAACCGUGGAGGGUCAUUGGAAACUGGAGAACUUGAGUACAGAAGAGGAAAGCGGAAUUCCACGUGUAGCGGUGAAAUGCGUAGAGAUGUGGAGGAACACCAGUGGCGAAGGCGGCUUUCUGGUCUGUAACUGACGCUGAGGCGCGAAAGCGUGGGGAGCAAACAGGAUUAGAUACCCUGGUAGUCCACGCCGUAAACGAUGAGUGCUAAGUGUUAGGGGGUUUCCGCUCCUUAGUGCUGCAGCUAACGCAUUAAGCACUCCGCCUGGGGAGUACGGCCGCAAGGCUG
rnacentral:rRNA from 1 species